UACAGAGGUCCCGAGCGUUGUCCGGAAUCACUGGGCGUAAAGGGCGCGUAGGUGGCGCGACAAGUCAGUGGUGAAAGUUCGACGCUCAACGUCGAAUCGGCCACUGAUACUGUUGGGCUUGAGCACUGUAGAGGCUAAUGGAAUUCCUGGUGUAGCGGUGGAAUGCGCAGAGUAUCAGGAGGAACACCGGUGGCGAAGGCGGGUCUCUGGGCAGUAACUGACGCUGAGGAGCGAAAGCGUGGGGAGCGAACAGG
rnacentral:rRNA from 1 species